CUGGACGGAGCUUCUAACGUUCUAAACUCUUCUCAUUCGGUAAUUGGCAAAUGCUUCAUUUACGUAUAUUGCGCACGUGCAGGGAAGUCGUGAGUCCUUGAAAUUAAGGGAUCCAAUAUUCGUGUAAAAAAAUACAGUGGAGGCAGGGCGAUGGCAAAUGUAUUUCUCAGAACUCGGGGAACGCCGUGGUGCUGGCAGACGCUGCUUCAGCUCGGUCGGUGGCUUUUCCCUGUAGCACAAACAGGGCGAGUAUACAAGCUCUGUGAAAUGACAUCGUACCUCGAUUCGGGCGCCUGCUGCGAUGCCGUUGGACAAAGGGCGCUCGGUGCUGUGAGUACUGCGGCAGCUCGGUCACACCGUCGGCAUCAGCUGGGAAUUGCACACAGCCUGUUGAGCACGAGGGGCACGUGGAAAUCGCCAGAUGAAAGCACGUGGCUGAAAUUCAGCAGGAGGAGAACUUACACGGGUAGCAGGCAACGAAGAUGAGGGUAAAAUCAAGAUGUGAAAAAUGCUUGAGUCCUUUUGGAGUUCUGUACGGCAGACCCGACCGAUUUCAGUUUAAAGGGGAAGCUCCAAAUCCAUGAGAGAGGACAGGGUAACACACACAUCUACAGGAUGCUCUCCUGCUGUGUCAUGAGGAUCAGAGCCAACCCCAUUGCUGUGUGAACUCUUCAGUGCACAGAGGACACAGUUCUUAAUUGUGGCCCGAGUCCCUGUGAGUUUCUUUUCCUCCCACAAAGCUGCUCACCCUGGAGGAGGCACAGGCACGGACACGAGGCCACAGCAGCUCUCCCGUUAUGCCAGACAGCAGAGACAGUGGAGUGGAAGAGGGCCCCACACCUUUACAGGGGAAAUUGCACACAGUCAUUGACUUUCCAUCCAGAAGAUGAAGAGGAGUUUCUUUUGCAGCACCUAUCAUAAUUGUUUGGGUGUUUUUUUUUUUUUUUCCAUUAUUACUAAUGCAAAACUUGCUGAAACUAAGUUACCUUAACCACUCAUGGAGUGUCGUAGCAAAUUUCCACUCACUUUGGACUCUGAGGACUCAACUACCUUACAACUGCCUGAUGGGCUCAGUUUAGGCACACAAUGGCACCGUUCCUUUCCUGUUAGGCAGCUCAGGUGUAUAAACCAUCUGAUGUCGAUGCUUGCCAGUACUGCCUGCACCUGGAGACAUCAGGGUUUUCCAGAUUCCAGGACCACGUGCCUGAAGUAAAUUCGGGUUCUCCUGUAAGCAGAGCUGUUGGACUGACUUGCUGUUUGCUAGGACUGGGAAGAGGCAGGGCUGCUGCAGCCCCAGCCCCACCUGGCAUGGGUCUCUGUAGGGCCGGGCUGCUGGCUUUGUUCCGGGCACUGCAGGGCUCUGUGACCAAAAAUUACCCCCAGGAGCUGUGCUCACACCUCGCUGGCAAACAUGGCUGAGAAACCCCUGCAUGUGGCCAGCCAGGAGCUGCUGCCCUUCUGACCACCUCACUCAAUAACUGCUCUCUGCUUGGGCGCACAUGCUGGAAGCUAUUACUCAACGAAUAAUACAAAUGUAAGAAAUAAACACUAAACAGGGCGUAUUGUCACAAGGUGGCCAGACAAGAGGAGUAAGAAAAUGUGUAAGCAUUGGGCAUGUAAGUUGUGUCUGUUUCCUUGGAGGCAGAAACCCUCAUGUUCUCCUAGUUCACUUGGGUGCAAUUUUACUUAAGAUCCUCUCAAGAUCUUCUGAGCCUGUUUGAGCCUUGAAGGGCAUGCACAGUCCACCCGUGAGUAUUUCUUUACUGGGAGACCUGCCACAUUUCAGUGGGAAGGUUACUGCUGCCCUCUGCAGCUGAGAGCCCAGACCUUCGUAUAUCGGCUGUGGCAUUGUUUUAGUAAAUCAUGCCUAGUCAAGGUUUGGAUUAAUUUGGCAUGUACAACAAUCUGUGUAUGGCUACCUGUUUAACUAUACUAGAUUGCAAACGUUUAACAAAGCAAACCUCCUCACUUUUGCCAGUGGUUUCCCGUCUGGUUACAAACUCAUCACUUACUGCAGUAAGAACACCACAUUUUGCUUCAGCGUUUGCUACGAAUUCCACACCUUGCUGUCAUUCCUUCCUCAGCUUCAUUUUCUCCACCCUUCACUGCUAUCGCAUCUGUUACCAGACGCAGCGCCGCUUUUGGCACAAGCUGCUCUUCUGUUCAGUGAGGGCAGAACCCUCCUGGGCCCUGCCAGCCCCCCCGCCACGCUUUUCUCAGCGUGCUCCGGAGCGGUCAGUCUUCAAGUCGGGCCCGGCUUCGGGUCCCUGUUCGGGCGCCAAUGCUCG